AUUGUGGUGGUGGCCACCUUGUAAUCAGCUACUCAGGAGGGUGAGGUGGGAGGAUCGCUUGAGUCUAGGAGUUCUGGGCUGUAGCGUAUGAUGCUUAUACUGUGUCCAUACUAAGUUGGGCAUCAAUAUGGCGAGCUCCUGGGAGCUGGGGGACCACCAUGUUGUCUAAGGAGAGGUGAACCAGCUCGGGUGUGAAACAGCACAGGUCAAAACUCUGGUGCUGAUUAGUAGCAGGGUGGUUCUGUGAAUAGCCACUGUACUCCAGACUAUGCAACUUAGCAAGACUCUGUCUCU
ensembl:misc_RNA Metazoa_SRP Metazoan signal recognition particle RNA